AACGAACGCUGGCGGCAGGCCUAACACAUGCAAGUCGAGCGCCCCAGCGAUGGGGAGCGGCGGACGGGUGAGUAACGCGUGGGAACGUACCCUUUGCUACGGAAUAGCCUCGGGAAACUGGGAGUAAUACCGUAUGUGCCCUUCGGGGGAAAGAUUUAUCGGCAAAGGAUCGGCCCGCGUUGGAUUAGGUAGUUGGUGGGGUAAUGGCCUACCAAGCCGACGAUCCAUAGCUGGUUUGAGAGGAUGAUCAGCCACACUGGGACUGAGACACGGCCCAGACUCCUACGGGAGGCAGCAGUGGGGAAUCUUAGACAAUGGGCGCAAGCCUGAUCUAGCCAUGCCGCGUGAGCGAUGAAGGCCUUAGGGUUGUAAAGCUCUUUCAGGGGGGAAGAUAAUGACUGUACCCCCAGAAGAAGCCCCGGCUAACUCCGUG
rnacentral:rRNA from 1 species